rnacentral:rRNA from 1 species
UACGUAGGGGGCGAGCGUUGUCCGGAUUUAUUGGGCGUAAAGAGCGUGUAGGCGGCCAGGUAGGUCCGUUGUGAAAACUCGGGGCUCAACCUCGAGACGUCGAUGGAAACCAUCUGGCUAGAGUCCGGAAGAGGAGAGUGGAAUUCCUGGUGUAGCGGUGAAAUGCGCAGAUAUCAGGAAGAACACCUAUGGCGAAGGCAGCUCUCUGGGACGGUACUGACGCUGAGACGCGAAAGCGUGGGGAGCGAACAGG